rnacentral:rRNA from 1 species
UACGAAGGGGGCUAGCGUUGUUCGGAAUUACUGGGCGUAAAGCGCGCGCAGGCGGUUUUUCAAGUCAGUGGUGAAAGCCCGGAGCUCAACUCCGGAAAUGCCAUUGAAACUGCAAAACUUGAGGACGAGAGAGGUGAGUGGAAUUCCCAGUGUAGAGGUGAAAUUCGUAGAUAUUGGGAAGAACACCGGUGGCGAAGGCGGCGACCUGGUCCUUGACUGACGCUGAGGCGCGAAAGCGUGGGGAGCAAACAGG